rnacentral:rRNA from 1 species
UGGAGGAAGGUGGGGAUGACGUCAAGUCAUCAUGGCCCUUACGACCAGGGCUACACACGUGCUACAAUGGCGCAUACAAAGAGAAGCGACCUCGCGAGAGCAAGCGGACCUCAUAAAGUGCGUCGUAGUCCGGAUUGGAGUCUGCAACUCGACUCCAUGAAGUCGGAAUCGCUAGUAAUCGUGGAUCAGAAUGCCACGGUGAAUACGUUCCCGGGCCUUGUACACACCGCCCGUCACACCAUGGGAGUGGGUUGCAAAAGAAGUAGGUAGCUUAACCUUCGGGAGGGCGCUUACCACUUUGUGAUUCAUGACUGGGGUGAAGUCGUAACAAGGUAACCGUAGGGGAACCUGCGGUUGGAUCACCUCCUUACCUUAAAGAAGC